rnacentral:rRNA from 1 species
UACGUAGGGUGCAAGCGUUUGUCCGGAAUUAUUGGGCGUAAAGAGCUCGUAGGCGGUUUGUCGCGUCUGCUGUGAAACCCGAGGCUCAACCUCGGGCCUGCAGUGGGUACGGGCAGACUAGAGUGCGGUAGGGGAGAUUGGAAUUCCUGGUGUAGCGGUGGAAUGCGCAGAUAUCAGGAGGAACACCGAUGGCGAAGGCAGAUCUCUGGGCCGUAACUGACGCUGAGGAGCGAAAGCAUGGGGAGCGAACAGG